rnacentral:rRNA from 1 species
AUUGAACGCUGGCGGCAGGCUUAACACAUGCAAGUCGAGCGGAGAUGAGGUGCUUGCACCUUAUCUUAGCGGCGGACGGGUGAGUAAUGCUUAGGAAUCUGCCUAUUAGUGGGGGACAACAUUCCGAAAGGAAUGCUAAUACCGCAUACGUCCUACGGGAGAAAGCAGGGGAUCUUCGGACCUUGCGCUAAUAGAUGAGCCUAAGUCGGAUUAGCUAGUUGGUGGGGUAAAGGCCUACCAAGGCGACGAUCUGUAGCGGGUCUGAGAGGAUGGUCCGCCACACUGGAACUGGGACACGGCCCAGACUCCUACGGGAGGCAGCAGUGGGGAAUAUUGGACAAUGGGUGGAACCCUGAUCCAGCCAUGCCGCGUGUGUGAAGAAGGCCUUAUGGUUGUAAAGCACUUUAAGCGAGGAGGAGGCUACUGAGACUAAUACUCUUGGAUAGUGGACGUUACUCGCAGAAUAAGCACCGGCUAACUCUGUGCCAGCAGCCGCCGCAG